UUCGGUAGGCAGAACUACAUACAGUCAGUCUGGCUUUCAAGUUUGGUUGAAAUGGUAAGCUUGGGAUGGGAUUUAGAGUUUUAUUUGACAUAUUUAUGUAAUUGUUACAUUGUAUACAAUUGUAAACUAUUACAUUAAGCCAAUUAAGUUCAAUGAAGCUGUUCAGAUUUUACUGCAGAUUGGACUGAGACAGUUGAUAAUGUGUUGAAAAGACAUCUGGAUGGACACAGCACUAUCCUACCACACCUUUCUUCAAGCAAGAAGCUUUUACUUUGGAACUGGAUGCAAUUAUAAAGAAGAAACGGACCUUCAUUUGGAAUACUAACAACAUUUUCAUUAUGCCAACUUGAAUGGCAUGGCUUUUGAGGAAACCUAACCCUGAUUGUUUUGAAAGUGUUCACAAGAGUGGUCGAGUUUACUUUUGAGGAAUCUUCUGAAGUCUUUACGGGAACAAAAUCGCAAAAUGGAUCAAGCAAGCGGUGGAGAAGAUCCUAAUAAAGCUAAUAAAAAGAAAGAAAAAGAGGAUGAGAGUAAAAACAAAAAACUGCGUGACCGGAUCACCAGUUUUCGGAAGACUGGGAAUAAAAAGGACAAGCCCCUGAUUCAGCACUCCACAGACCCCCUGUCCACUCAGGUAGAGAUGCCCAUGCCCCAGCCCCUCUUCGACGACCGCUCCAUGAACCUCUCCGAGAAGGAGAUCAAUGACCUCUUUGAGAAGAUGAUGGAGGACAUGAACCUGAAUGAGGAGCGUAAAGCCCCCCUGCGUGGGAAGGACCUGAGCACCAAGCGAGAGAUGGUUGUCCAGUACAUCUCUGCCACCGCUAAAUCUGGAGGACUGAGGAACAGCAAGCAUGAGUGUACACUAUCAUCACAGGAGUAUGUCCACGAGCUGCGCUCUGGCAUCACUGAUGACAAGCUGCUGAUCUGCCUGGAGUCCCUUCGUGUCUCUCUCACCAGUAACCCUGUCAGCUGGGUGAACAACUUUGGCCAUGAAGGACUGGGCCUCCUCUUGGAUGCAUUGGAUAAGUUGCUGGAUAAGAAACAGCCAGAAAGUAUAGACAAAAGGAACCAGCACAAGCUGAUCCAGUGUCUCAAGGCCUUCAUGAACAAUAAGUAUGGACUGCAAAGGAUUCUGGGAGAUGAGCGAAGCUUGCUUCUCCUGGCCAGGGCCAUUGACCCAAAACAGACCAGUAUGAUGACAGAGAUCGUCAAGAUCCUCUCAGCUAUCUGCAUCAUUGGAGAGGAAAACAUCCUGGAUAAGAUCCUGGCUGCCAUGACGAUUGCGGCGGAGAGGAAUAACAAGGAGAGAUUUUCUCCGAUAGUGGAGGGACUGGAGAAUCACGAGGCCCAACAGCUCCAGGUGGCCUGCAUGCAGCUGAUCAACGCUCUGGUCACCUCUCCAGACGAUCUGGACUUCAGGAUACAUCUGCGCAACGAGUUCCUCCGCUGUGGCCUCAAGAAGAUCCUCCCGCUGAAAGAGACAGAGGAGCUGGACAUCCAACUGAAGGUGUUCAACGAGAACAAGGAGGAGGACUCCAUUGAGGUCUCCCAUCGCCUCGAUGACAUCCGCGCCGAGAUGGAAUAUCCUUUUGUGUACCAUCUCCUGUCCAACAUGGUGAAAGACACCGGGUCGGAGACCUACUUCCUGUCCAUCCUACAGCACCUCCUGCUCAUCAGGAACGACUACUACAUCAGGCCCCAGUACUACAAGGUCAUAGAGGAAUGUGUGUCUCAGGUGGUUCUCCAUCGCAGCGGGAUGGACCCAGACUUCGGAUACAGAGAGAGACUGGAUGUAGACUUCACCCACCUCAUUGGUAGGUCUGCCAGAGCUCUGGAUGACAGGGGAAUGUGUCCCAUCAUUAACAUUGAUCUCCCAUCUUUGCAGAUUGCAGCCGGACCAGCGGCGGCCGGGACAGGAGUCCCACCUCCAGCCCUACCGGGGGGAUUAGCACCCCCUCCUCCGCCGCCUCCUGGCAUGGCCAGCAUGCCCCCUCCGCCCCCGCCACCUCCAGGCGUAGGGCCACCCCCACCACCCCCUCCCCCCGGUUGUGGACCCCCACCUCCUCCGCCCUUCCCCGGGGCUCCAGGUAUCCCUCCGCCUCCUAUGAUGGCCAUACCUGUCAUCAAGCUGCCUUAUGGACUGGUGGCCAAGAAGACCUACAAGCCUGAGGUCGUCAUGAAGAGGGUCAACUGGUCCAAGAUAGUGCCUCAGGAAAUGGCGGAGAAUUGCUUCUGGAUCAAAGUCAAAGAGGAGAAGUUUGAGAAUCAAGAAUUCUUUGAACAGCUCUCCCUCAGCUUUUCCUCCAGGACCAAAGUGAAAAAUGAGGUGGAUGAGACAGACGCCAGGGUGACGCAAUUCAAGAAAAAGGCGAAGGAGCUGCGAAUCUUGGACGCAAAGACGGCACAGAAUUUGUCAAUUUUCCUGGGCUCAUUCCGGCUGCCUUAUGAAGAGAUCCGGGACAUUGUGCUGGAGGUGGACGAGGGGAGGCUGAGCGAAUCACUGAUCCAGAACCUGAUAAAGAACCUACCAGAACAGAAGGAGCUGAGCGCUCUGGCAGAACUGAAGAAUGAGUACGAGGAACUAUGUGAGCCUGAACAGUUUGGCAUUGUGAUGAGCUCUGUGAAGCUGCUGCGCUCACGCCUCAACGGAAUCCUUUUCAAGCUGACCUUCGAGGAGCAGGUGAACAACAUCCGUCCAGACAUCAUGAAUGUGACGUUCGCCUGCGAGGAGGUGAAGAAGAGUGACAGCUUCAGCAAGCUGCUGGAGAUGGUAUUGCUGGUGGGCAACUACAUGAACGCUGGCUCCCGGAAUGCCCAGACCUUUGGCUUCAACAUCAGCUUCCUCUGCAAGCUUCGAGACACUAAGUCGGCCGACCAAAACACAACGCUGCUCCACUUCCUGGCUGAGAAGUGUGAAGAAAAGUACCCGGAGAUCCUGAGGUUCCCUGAAGAGCUGCAGCACGUGGAGAGUGCUAGCAAAGUUUCUGCCGAGAUCCUGAAGAGCAGUCUCAGCACCAUGGAGAGACACAUCCAGAGGCUAGAAAAUGACAUUGAGAACUUCCCAAAGACGGACGACAAAAAGGAUAAGUUUGUGGAAAAAUUAUCCAUAUCCUUUUCAUGCUUUUUAUUAAUUUCUCACAUUCAAUAUGAGAAGCUGUCCACCAUGCACAAGAACAUGCAGAAGCUAUACGAGAGCCUGGGCAGCUACUACGCCUUCGACCCCCACGUCCUCUGCGUCGAGGACUUCUUCGGUGACCUGGCCUCCUUCCGUACCCUCUUUGUGGAAGCAGUGAAGGACAACCACAAGAAGAGGGAGAUGGAGGAGAAGAUCAAGAGAGCCCGACUGGCCAAGGAGAAAGCGGAGCACGCGAAGCAGGAGCGCCAGCAGAAAAAGAAGCAGCUGAUUGACAUGAACAAAGAGAAUGAAACAGGUGUGAUGGACAGCCUAAUGGAAGCCCUGCAGUCCGGAGCAGCCUUCCGCGAUCGCCGAAAACGAACCCCGCGCAACGGUAAGGUCCCCACGCCUCUGUUGAAGUAA
ensembl:lncRNA protein diaphanous homolog 2-like